CCAGAGAAUUUAGCAGAGAUGCUUUAGUGCCUCGGGAACNCUGAGACAGGUGCUGCAUGGCUGUCGUCAGCUCGUGUUGUGAAAUGUUGGUUAAGUCCCGCAACGAGCGCAACCCCUAUCCUUUGUUGCCAGCGAUUCGGUCGGGAACUCAAAGGAGACUGCCGGUGAUAAACCGGAGGAAGGUGGGGAUGACGUCAAGUCAUCAUGGCCCUUACGAGUAGGGCUACACACGUGCUACAAUGGCGCAUACAAAGAGAAGCGACCUCGCGAGAGCAAGCGGACCUCAUAAAGUGCGUCGUAGUCCGGAUUGGAGUCUGCAACUCGACUCCAUGAAGUCGGAAUCGCUAGUAAUCGUAGAUCAGAAUGCUACGGUGAAUACGUUCCCGGGCCUUGUACACACCGCCCGUCACACCAUGGGAGUGGGUUGCAAAAGAAGUAGAUAGCUUAACCUUCGGGAGGGCGUUUACCACUUUGUGAUUCAUGACUGGGGUGAAGUCGUAACAAGGUAAGCGUAGCGAG
rnacentral:rRNA from 1 species